rnacentral:lncRNA from 1 species
GUAUAGUAUUAGUUUAAAACUAAAAUGGACCAAUCCUGGAUCGCCACCUGUAUUAUCAGCCACUGAAAUAGGACAGACUUUGUCCCCUCUCUGUUUGUCUGCUCAACCCAGAGUGAAAUCAAAACACCCCAUGUAGCCCAUGGCAACCUGAUGACUCAGAGUCACGUCAUAAACAAGUAGAAUGACCACCGUGGGGGAAAACAACUGAUGUUCACCAUCUGGGACCAUUCAACAGCCUAGAUUUACCAGGUUAUUACUAAAUAAACUGUUAACCAUCUGGGACCAUUCAACAGUCUAGAUUUACCAGGUUAUUAUUAAAUAAACUGUUAACCAUCUGGGACCAUUCAACAGUCUAGAUUUACCAGGUUAUUACUAAAUAAACUGUUCACCAUCUGGGACCAUUCAACAGUCUAGAUUUACCAGGUUAUUACUAAAUAAACUGUUCACCAUCUGGGACCAUUCAACAGUCUAGAUUUACCAGGUUAUUACUAAAUAAACUGUUCGUCAUCUGG